AUAGCGUAUAUCAGAAUUGUUGUGGUUAAAAAGCUCGUAGUUGGAUCUCGGUUUCAGAUUGAUGGUGCAUCUUGUGGUGUUUACUAUUGAUUUGGACGAUUUUAUUGGUUCGUUUAUAGUUCUCUUAAUCGAGUGCUUUAAGUGGCCAGUACGUUUACUUUGAAAAAAUUGGAGUGCUCAAAGCAGGCGCUACAGCCUGAACAUUAGUGCAUGGAAUAAUGGAAUAGGAUCUCGGUUCUAUUUCGUUGGCUUUCGGAGUCGAGGUAAUGAUUAAUAGGGACAGACGGGGGCAUUCGUACUGCGACGUUAGAGGUGAAAUUCUUGGAUCGUCGCAAGACGAACUACUG
rnacentral:rRNA from 1 species